GAUGAACGCUAGCUACAGGCUUAACACAUGCAAGUCGAGGGGAAACGAUAUUGGAAGCUUGCUUCCGAUAGGCGUCGACCGGCGCACGGGUGAGCAACGCGUAUCCAACCUGCCCAUCACUUGGGGAUAACCUUGCGAAAGUAAGACUAAUACCCAAUGAUAUCUCUAGAAGACAUCUGAAGGAGAUUAAAGAUUCAUCGGUGAUGGAUGGGGAUGCGUCUGAUUAGCUUGUUGGCGGGGUAACGGCCCACCAAGGCGACGAUCAGUAGGGGGUCUGAGAGGAAGGUCCCCCACAUUGGAACUGAGACACGGUCCAAACUCCUACGGGAGGCAGCAGUGAGGAAUAUUGGUCAAUGGACGAGAGUCUGAACCAGCCAAGUAGCGUGCAGGAUGACGGCCCUAUGGGUUGUAAACUGCUUUUAUAAGGGAAUAAAGUGAGUCUCGUGAGACUUUUUGCACGUACCUUAUGAAUAAGGACCGGCUAAUUCCGUGCCAGCCGCCGCCGUAA
rnacentral:rRNA from 1 species